UACGUAGGGGGCUAGCGUUGUCCGGAAUCAUUGGGCGUAAAGAGCGUGUAGGCGGCCCGGUAAGUCCGCUGUGAAAGUCACAGGCUCAACCUGUGAAUGCCGCUGGAAACUGUCUGGCUAGAGUCCGGAAGGGGCGAGUGGAAUUCCUGGUGUAGCGGUGAAAUGCGCAGAUAUCAGGAGGAACACCAAUAGCGAAGGCAGCUCGCUGGGACGGUACUGACGCUGAGGCGCGAAAGCGUGGGGAGCAAACAGG
rnacentral:rRNA from 1 species